UUGUUUUUGAUUUUUUUUUUUUCAAAGAAUUGAAAACCUUUAAUGAUUUUGCAAAUAAUAUUCUCAUCUGGAUAAAUAAAACAUAGAAAUGCAAACAUGCUUGUCCAUCUGUCCUUGUGUUAUGUUUCUUUUUUUUUUCCUAUGUAAAAAAUGUACAUCAUGACUUUGAAAAACUAAAGAAUUAACUCUUUAAACUCCAAAACGUCGAUGUUGUAGAUUGACUAUAAUCUAAUCUUUUAUAAACCACCAUCGUCUUCUGAAUGAAGUUAAUAAGGUGUGACAAUAGUUUGUUAUUACAUUUUUUUUUUUAAACAUUAUACAAUU